CCGGUCUCUGCUCUUCAGGAACCCUACAGAACAUUACAACCAUAUGAGAAUCAUAACAAGAUACAGUAGAACUUCUGGUGGGACCGGUCUCUGCUCUUCAGGAACCCUACAGAACAUUACAGCCAUAUGAGAAUCAUAACAAGAUACAGUAGAACUUCUGGUGGGACCGGUCUCUGCUCUUCAGGAACCCUGAAGAGGACGGUUGGGGAGGGAGAAACAGAACAUUUGUGGUUCACUGCUAGACAUAUCUGGCAAAAUAGGUUUAGGGUCUUGGAACCUGGACCAUUAGGCACGCUGCUUAAUUUUUUAUUUUUUUUAACCUUUAUUUAACCAGGUGAGUCUUUAUUUAACCAGGUGAGUCUUUAUUUAACCAGGUGAGUCUUUAUUUAACCAGGUGAGUCUUUAUUUAACCAGGUGAGUCUUUAUUUAACCAGGUGAGUCUUUAUUUAACCAGGUAAGUCUUUAUUUAACCAGGUGAGUCUUUAUUUAACCAGGUAAGUCAUUAUUUAACCAGGUAAGUCAUUAUUUAACCAGGUGAGUCUUUGAGAACACAUUCUCUUUUACAAUAACAACAGAUGUACCUUAGCUAGGCACAGUCGUGCAGGUAAGAUAACACAUGGCCAAUCUAGGGUGCAAAACAGGGAAGUGACUUCCUUAAGUGUUAAACCGAGCUGGGCUGACUGGCAGC
ensembl:lncRNA